UACGGGGGGGGCAAGCGUUGUUCGGAAUUACUGGGCGUAAAGGGCGCGUAGGCGGCCUGCUAAGUCGAACGUGAAAUCCCUGGGCUCAACCCAGGAACUGCGUCCGAUACUGGUUGGCUUGAAUCCGGGAGAGGGAUGUGGAAUUCCCAGUGUAGAGGUGAAAUUCGUAGAUAUUGGGAAGAACACCGAUGGCGAAGGCAGCCAUCUGGACCGACACUGACGCUGAGGCGCGAAAGCGUGGGGAGCAAACAGG
rnacentral:rRNA from 1 species